UUCUUAUCCCUCUUCAUUCCUUCCAUUUCCUUCUCCUACUACUAGUCCUUUCCCUGCUACCCUCACUGCAUGCGCAUGCAGCCAGCAUUGCCGAAGGUGACAUCAAGCAACACAGUCGCAAAUCUGCAGGAUGGCAGCAGCAGGAAGAUUGCAACAGAGGCAAGGGAAGUAGCGGCCAUCUUUAAUUCCUCAAAUUCUCCUUCUACUACCUUCUUUAUAGCUGCGGCAAAAGGAGAGGAGUAGCAGCAGCCAACCAGCAAGAAGGGGCUGCAGCAUUGCUGCUAGCAGGUUGGCAGCAGUGCAGUAGUAGCUGCAUCUCCAGUAGAGCAUCUCAAUUUCUUGGAUUGGGGUCAUUAUUUCGGAAUUGAUCAUGAAUUGCUCUUUUAGAUGCAUAAUGGCUGAAAUUGUAGGAUUCGUUGGAUCUUAUUAAUUACUCAACUCCAAUCCUUUUGAUUGAUCUUUUAGUAGUAGGUAUUAGCUCAUUAUCCUUCUUUCUCAUGAGGUUUGGAGCUACUCCUAACUUGGAUUUCAAGUUAGUAUGGAUGAAUUUGAGAGGACUUGGGAGUUUGAGCUGAAAUGUACAAUUCAUGGAGAUUUCUAUUAAAUCCUGCACUCAAUCUUCUUUAUUGGAACUUCUUGCUGCGAAAUUGAGCUUUGUGGACAAUCUAGAGAGAAAGAGGAGCUUGAAGACUUGUUUCGUCAAUUAAAUUUCAGCCUCCACUUUCUCUAGCUGAGCAACUGGAGGAGUUUUGAUAGAAAUUACUUCAACUCCUGCUGAUUUGAAGAUGCUUCCAGGCUGACAGCAUUGAGUAGGAGAUUUGGAAGCUAAAUUCGAUGGGUUUUCCUACUCCAACUUCAAAAUUGAUGAUUCAUAACUAGAGUUGGGGAUGUUAGGAUGUGGUUCAUACCUUCUUUGAGCUAAAAUUUGCAGGAAGUGAGCUUUGGAAGGAUUGAGAGUGAUCUUGACUUCAUCCCCUUGUGGUUAGAAUCUUAUUUGGACCAAUUUGGAGGUAACAUGAGUGAGAACUUCAGUUUUCAUUGAGGUCGAAAACCGAAAAACAGUUUUUAUGUCGAAGCUGAAUUCUUGACCUCUAUUUCUCAAUUGUGAUGGAAUUUCGUGAUGAAUAAGAUUUUUCUUAUAGUAUAGAAGUCAAAGAUUACUCGCGGAUCGCCCCUAGCCUUAUCUUGCCCUAGAUUUUCUUGUGGAGCAAGAAAUUCGCAGCACCAAGGUGCAGUCCAGCAGCUAUAGCAGUGCAUUAAGCAGUGGCCACUGAACUUGAGGGGGAAAUUACCGGAUUUUGAUGCUUCGAGCUGAUAAAGUGGAACCUACUCUCGGUCUACCUCCUUGUGUGGAGUAGGGAGAUUAAGUUAUUUAGCCAAAUUAGCGAGGGUUUGAGUUUCAAUUGAGGUAAUUUUGGUCGUAAUGCUGAUUUUCUAUCUUGAAGCUUCAUUUUUGGAAGUUGUGAGUCUAACUUUCUUGUGAGCAAUUUUUUUAAGGGAUUCUAGCUAAUCUAUGGCUAAAUUGUAGCGGAUUCAAAGUUGGCCCAAGCAGAAUUAUAAGCAGGGAUUUUUGGAUUUCGGCAUCACUUUCCGUUUCCUUGGAGUUAGGGGAAGGUAUUCACAGAAUUUCAUGUCAACCCGUUGUUGGAUUAGCAAAUAAGGUGGGUUAAUGUUUACCGAAAUCUUCGGAAUUCCUCCUAAGUCGUAGAGAUUUCAGCAUGUAUUCUCUUGUAUUGAUCAUCAUAUUUAGUAACUCGAAUUUAUAGAUUUGCAUACUUUCAUAUGAAAUCUGAAUUUGGAGCUUAAUCUAAUAAUUUUAAAUAAAUUUUACAUGCCGUACUGGGCCUUGACUUAGGAGAAAACUCACCUGAAUCUACACAUCACUUUUCAAAAAAGUUAACAGAUUUAGCUUCAGGAGCUGUUUUUAUCUUUGUAUCACCACUGUUCGCGCGUCGUGGAUACUUAGAUCAGUGUAGGUUAAGUUUACGCCCGUGCUAAGGUGUAGCUUUGUACAUAUGAUUUUUUUAAAAAGAGAGAAAUAACUCUAGUCAAGCAUCUAUUAUUUUAAUUGUGAUUUUAAAUUUAAUUGUGAUUAUAAUUUUA